UACGUAGGCUCCAAGCGUUGUUCGGAAUUACUGGGCGUAAAGCGAGUGUAGGCGGUCCGUCAAGUUGGUUGUGAAAUCUCCUGGCUCAACUGGGAGGGUGCGACCAAAACUGACGGACUCGAGUCCGGGAGAGGAGAGUGGAAUUCCUGGUGUAGCGGUGAAAUGCGUAGAUAUCAGGAGGAACACCGGUGGUGAAGACGGCUCUCUGGACCGGUACUGACGCUGAGACUCGAAAGCGUGGGGAGCAAAC
rnacentral:rRNA from 1 species